UACAGAGGUCUCAAGCGUUGUUCGGAUUCAUUGGGCGUAAAGGGUGCGUAGGCGGCGCGGUAAGUCGGGUGUGAAAUCUUGGAGCUUAACUCCGAAACUGCAUUUCGAUACUGCCGUGCUUGAGGACUGGAGAGGAGACUGGAAGUUUACGGUGUAGCGGUGAAAUGCGUAGAUAUCGUAAGGAAGACCAGUGGCGAAGGCGGGUCUCUGGACAGUUCCUGACGCUGAGGCACGAAGGCCAGGGGAGCAAACGGG
rnacentral:rRNA from 1 species